GAUGAACGCUAGCUACAGGCUUAACACAUGCAAGUCGAGGGACCGGCGCACGGGUGAGUAACACGUAUCCAACCUGCCCUUUACUCGGGGAUAGCCUUUCGAAAUAAAGAUUAAUACCCGAUAUAAAGGAUGGGGAUGCGUUCCAUUAGGUGGUGGGUGAGGUAACGGCCCACCAAGCCUUCGCUGGAUAGGGUUUCUGAUAGGAAGGUCCCCCACAUGGGAACUGAGACACGGUCCAAACUCCUACGGGAGGCAGCAGUGAGUAAGAUUGGUCAAUGUGCGUUAGCCUGAACCAGCCAAGUAGCGUGAAGGAUGAAGGCUUAUGGGUCGUAAACUUCUGUUAUAUAAGAAUAUGUAUUAUAUGAAUAAGGAUCGGCUAACUCCGUGCCAGCAGCCGCGGUAAUAC
rnacentral:rRNA from 1 species